rnacentral:rRNA from 1 species
UACGUAGGGUGCAAGCGUUGUCCGGAAUUAUUGGGCGUAAAGAGCUCGUAGGCGGUCUGUCGCGUCUGCUGUGAAAACUCAGGGCUUAACCCUGAGCUUGCAGUGGGUACGGGCAGACUAGAGUGCGGUAGGGGAGACUGGAAUUCCUGGUGUAGCGGUGAAAUGCGCAGAUAUCGAGGAGGAACACCGGUGGGCGAAGGCGGG